CCUACGGGUGGCAUCAGUGAGGAAUAUUGGUCAAUGGGCGGAAGCCUGAACCAGCCAAGUCGCGUGAGGGAUGAAGGCCCUGCGGGUCGUAAACCUCUUUUGCCGGGGAGCAGUGGUCCGGACGCGUCCGGACCGGGAGAGUACCCGGAGAAAAAGCAUCGGCUAACUCCGUGCCAGCAGCAGCGGUAAUACGGAGGAUGCGAGCGUUCUGCGGAUUUAUUGGGUUUAAAGGGUGCGUAGGCGGGCAUUUAAGCCGGCGGGCAAAUUCCGGGGCUCAACCCCGGCCUGCCGUCGGAACUGGGGUGCUUGAGUGGGCGAGAAGUAUGCGGAAGGCGUGGUGUAGCGGUGAAAUGCAUAGAUAUCACGCAGAACCCCGAUUGCGAAGGCAGCAUACCGGCGCACUACUGACGCUGAGGCACGAAAGUGCGGGUAUCGAACAGGAUUAGAUACCCGUGUAGUC
rnacentral:rRNA from 1 species